rnacentral:rRNA from 1 species
ACGCUGGCGGCGUGCCUAAUACAUGCAAGUAGAACGCUGAAGGAGGAGCUUGCUUCUCUGGAUGAGUUGCGAACGGGUGAGUAACGCGUAGGUAACCUGCCUGGUAGCGGGGGAUAACUAUUGGAAACGAUAGCUAAUACCGCAUAAGAGUAGAUGUUGCAUGACAUUUGCUUAAAAGGUGCAAUUGCAUCACUACCAGAUGGACCUGCGUUGUAUUAGCUAGUUGGUGGGGUAACGGCUCACCAAGGCGACGAUACAUAGCCGACCUGAGAGGGUGAUCGGCCACACUGGGACUGAGACACGGCCCAGACUCCUACGGGAGGCAGCAGUAGGGAAUCUUCGGCAAUGGACGGAAGUCUGACCGAGCAACGCCGCGUGAGUGAAGAAGGUUUUCGGAUCGUAAAGCUCUGUUGUAAGAGAAGAACGAGUGUGAGAGUGGAAAGUUCACACUGUGACGGUAUCUUACCAGAAAGGGACGGCUAACUACGUGCCAGCAGCCGCGGUAAUACGUAGGUCCCGAGCGUUGUCCGGAUUUAUUGGGCGUAAAGCGAGCGCAGGCGGUUAGAUAAGUCUGAAGUUAAAGGCUGUGGCUUAACCAUAGUACGCUUUGGAGACUGUUUAACUUGAGUGCAAGAGGGGAGAGUGGAAUUCCAUGUGUAGCGGUGAAAUGCGUAGAUAUAUGGAGGAACACCGGUGGCGAAAGCGGCUCUCUGGCUUGUAACUGACGCUGAGGCUCGAAAGCGUGGGGAGCGAACAGGAUUAGAUACCCUGGUAGUCCACGCCGUAAACGAUGAGUGCUAGGUGUUAGACCCUUUCCGGGGUUUAGUGCCGCAGCUAACGCAUUAAGCACUCCGCCUGGGGAGUACGACCGCAAGGUUGAAACUCAAAGGAAUUGACGGGGGCCCGGACAA